rnacentral:rRNA from 1 species
GAUGAACGCUGGCGGCGUGCCUAAUACAUGCAAGUAGAACGCUGAAGGAGGAGCUUGCUCUUCUGGAUGAGUUGCGCACGGGUGAGUAACGCGUAGGUAACCUGCCUGUUAGCGGGGGAUAACAAUUGGAAACGAUAGCUAAUACCGCAGGACAACAGUUAUUGCAUGAUAACUGUUUAAAAGGGGCAACUGCUCCACUACCAGAUGGACCUGCGUUGUAUUAGCUAGUUGGUGAGGUAACGGCUCACUAAGGCGACGAUACAUAGUCGACCUGGGAGGGGGAACGGCCAAACUGGGAACGAGACACGGCCCAGAAUCCUACGGGAGGGAGCAGGAGGGGAAUUUUGGGAAAGGACGGAAGGCUGAACGAGGCAAGCCGGGGGAGGGGAGAAGGGUGUCGGAUCGGAAAGCUUGGUUGUAAGGGAAGAAAGAGAGUGGGAAUGGAAAGUUCACACUGUGACGGUAUCUUAUCAGAAAGGCACGGCUAACUACGUG